GGUUAAGUUAAUAAGGGCGCACGGUGGAUGCCUUGGCACUAGAAGCCGAUGAAGGACGUGACUAACGACGAAAUGCUUUGGGGAGCUGUAAGUGAGCAAUGAUCCAGAGAUGUCCGAAUGGGGGAACCCGGCAGGUAAUGCCUGUCACUCAUUACUGUUAAGGUAAUGUAGAGGAAGACGCAGUGAACUGAAACAUCUAAGUAGCUGCAGGAAGAGAAAGCAAAAGCGAUUGCCUUAGUAGCGGCGAGCGAAACGGCAAGAGGGCAAACCGAAGAGUUUACUCUUCGGGGUUGUAGGACUGCAACGUGGACUUAAAGAUUAUAGAAGAACUACCUGGGAAGGUAGGCCAAAGAGAGUAAUAGCCUCGUAUUCGAAAUAGUCUUUAUACCUAGCAGUAUCCUGAGUACGGCGAGACACGAGAAAUCUCGUCGGAAUCUGGGAGGACCAUCUCCCAACCCUAAAUACUCUUUAGUGACCGAUAGUGAACCAGUACCGUGAGGGAAAGGUGAAAAGCACCCCGGGAGGGGAGUGAAAUAGAACCUGAAACCGUGUGCCUACAACAAGUUCGAGCCCGUUAAUGGGUGAGAGCGUGCCUUUUGUAGAAUGAACCGGCGAGUUACGAUAUGAUGCGAGGUUAAGUUGAAGAGACGGAGCCGUAGGGAAACCGAGUCUUAAUAGGGCGCAUUAGUAUCAUGUCGUAGACCCGAAACCAUGUGACCUACCCAUGAGCAGGUUGAAGGUGAGGUAAAACUCACUGGAGGACCGAACCAGGGCACGUUGAAAAGUGCUUGGAUGACUUGUGGGUAGCGGAGAAAUUCCAAACGAACUUGGAGAUAGCUGGUUCUCUCCGAAAUAGCUUUAGGGCUAGCGUCGAUGUUAAGUCUCUUGGAGGUAGAGCACUGUUUGGGUGAGGGGUCCAUCCCGGAUUACCAAUCUCAGAUAAACUCCGAAUGCCAAUGAGAUAUAAUCGGCAGUCAGACUGCGAGUGCUAAGAUCCGUAGUCGAAAGGGAAACAGCCCAGACCACCAGCUAAGGUCCCAAAAUAUAUGUUAAGUGGAAAAGGAUGUGGGGUUGCACAGACAACUAGGAUGUUAGCUUAGAAGCAGCUAUUCAUUCAAAGAGUGCGUAAUAGCUCACUAGUCGAGUGACCCUGCGCCGAAAAUGUACCGGGGCUAAAACAUAUUACCGAAGCUGUGGAUACCUUUAUAGGUAUGGUAGGAGAGCGUUCUAUGUGCGAAGAAGGUGUACCGUGAGGAGUGCUGGAGCGCAUAGAAGUGAGAAUGCCGGUAUGAGUAGCGAAAGACAGGUGAGAAUCCUGUCCACCGUAAGACUAAGGUUUCCAGGGGAAGGCUCGUCCGCCCUGGGUUAGUCGGGACCUAAGGAGAGACCGAAAGGUGUAUCCGAUGGACAACAGGUUGAUAUUCCUGUACUAGAGUAUAUAGUGAUGGAGGGACGCAGUAGGCUAACUAAACCAGACGAUUGGAAGUGUCUGGCCAAGCAGUGAGGUGUGAUAUGAGUCAAAUGCUUAUAUCUUUAACAUUGAGCUGUGAUGGGGAGCGAAGUUUAGUAGCGAAGUUAGUGAUGUCACACUGCCGAGAAAAGCUUCUAGCGUUAAUUAUACUCUACCCGUACCGCAAACCGACACAGGUAGUCGAGGCGAGUAGCCUCAGGUGAGCGAGAGAACUCUCGUUAAGGAACUCGGCAAAAUGGCCCCGUAACUUCGGGAGAAGGGGCGCUGACUGAUGGUCAGCCGCAGUGAAUAGGCCCAAGCAACUGUUUAUCAAAAACACAGCUCUCUGCUAAAUCGUAAGAUGAUGUAUAGGGGGUGACGCCUGCCCGGUGCUGGAAGGUUAAGAGGAGUGCUUAGCGUAAGCGAAGGCAUGAAUUGAAGCCCCAGUAAACGGCGGCCGUAACUAUAACGGUCCUAAGGUAGCGAAAUUCCUUGUCGGGUAAGUUCCGACCCGCACGAAAGGCGUAAUGAUUUGGGCACUGUCUCAACGAGAGACUCGGUGAAAUUUUAGUACCUGUGAAGAUGCAGGUUACCCGCGACAGGACGGAAAGACCCCAUGGAGCUUUACUGCAGUUUGAUAUUGAGUAUCUGUACCACAUGUACAGGAUAGGUAGGAGCCUAUGACCUCGGGACGCCAGUUUCGAGUGAGGCGUUGUUGGGAUACUACCCUUGUGUUAUGGCUACUCUAACCCAGAUAGGUUAUCCCUAUCGGAGACAGUGUCUGACGGGCAGUUUGACUGGGGCGGUCGCCUCCUAAAAGGUAACGGAGGCGCCCAAAGGUUCCCUCAGAAUGGUUGGAAAUCAUUCGCAGAGUGUAAAGGUAUAAGGGAGCUUGACUGCGAGAGCUACAACUCGAGCAGGGACGAAAGUCGGGCUUAGUGAUCCGGUGGUUCCGUAUGGAAGGGCCAUCGCUCAACGGAUAAAAGCUACCCUGGGGAUAACAGGCUUAUCUCCCCCAAGAGUUCACAUCGACGGGGAGGUUUGGCACCUCGAUGUCGGCUCGUCGCAUCCUGGGGCUGUAGUCGGUCCCAAGGGUUGGGCUGUUCGCCCAUUAAAGCGGCACGCGAGCUGGGUUCAGAACGUCGUGAGACAGUUCGGUCCCUAUCCGUCGCGGGCGUAGGAAAUUUGAGAGGAUCUGCUCCUAGUACGAGAGGACCAGAGUGGACUUACCGCUGGUGUACCAGUUGUUCUGCCAAGAGCAUCGCUGGGUAGCUAUGUAGGGAAGGGAUAAACGCUGAAAGCAUCUAAGUGUGAAGCCCACCUCAAGAUGAGAUUUCCCAUGAUUUUAUAUCAGUAAGAGCCCUGAGAGAUGAUCAGGUUGAUAGGUUAGAAGUGGAAGUGUGGUGACACAUGUAGCGGACUAAUACUAAUAGCUCGAGGACUUAUCCAA
rnacentral:rRNA from 1 species